UGCGCAGGCGGAAUGAUAAGUCAGUGGUGAAAUCCUACGGCUCAACUGUAGAACUGCCAUUGAUACUGUUGUUCUUGAGUACACUUGGAGUGGGCGGAAUGUGUCAUGUAGCGGUGAAAUGCUUAGAUAUGACACAGAACACCGAUCGCGAAGGCAGCUCACUAAGUUGUAACUGACGCUCAGGCACGAAAGCGUGGGGAUCAAACA
rnacentral:rRNA from 1 species